CCCUGGUUAGCUCAGUUGGUAGAGCGCUCCACUUGUAAUGGUCCCGGGUUCGAUACCCGGACCAGGCG
rnacentral:tRNA from 1 species